CAGAAAACCUACACUGACAGGCACUGGGAAAACAAACCAGCACAGUCCAGCCCCAACCACCAAACUGACAGGGUCACUGCGGAGCUCUCUCCUCAAAGAGAAAUGCUGAUGACCAAGCAGUGAACACUGCUCUCCUUAACUCGCCCACCUCUUCCCAGACGGUACAGGAAUCACGCUCCACCCCCAUUGUCUGGCUUUUUCAUCUACUCCCCAAAACAGUCUGCGAUGAACCAGGGGCUGCAAGGUGCGAGACCCCAAACAGUUGCAUAACUGUCAUCUAUGGUGAAGACGCUACAAAGAUAGCAGUUCUGAAACUUAUUCUGAGCCAAUACUGUACCAGUCAGCCAAUUUAAUUAAACUCAAG